GGGAAGACCAUGAUUAACACAAAAUGUCUCUCCUGCAUGCAGAAUUAGCAAUAUGCAAAUCUACUCGAAUAUGCAAAUUACCAGUCUUGCUAUUCAGGUAGUGCAUAUUACUGUUGCUACCAACAGAUGGCGCUACACAAGCUCCAUAGCCAAAUCCACCUAGUUGGUAGCAAUUCUCAGCAGUACAGGAGAGCAGGCAAUACAUCCCAGGGGCCAUAGUCACAUGGCAGGAGGCUGGCAAUUAGUCUUCUCCAAUGCCCAGUGGCGAGGCUGGUUCUGCCACACA